rnacentral:rRNA from 1 species
AAUGAACGCUGGCGGCAUGCCUUACACAUGCAAGUCGAACGAUAACAUGCGGCAAGGUGCUGACGGGUUGCGUACGGGGGAGUAAUGCAUCCGAACGUGCCCAGUCGCUGGGGGUAAGUACUCGUAAUAGUAGCUAAUACCUCAUACCAUCUAAUGUUUAAAGCGGGGGAGCGCAAGGCCUCGCGCGGUUCGUUCGGCCGAUGUAAGAUUAGGUAGGUGGCGGGGUAAAGGUGUACCAAGACAACGAUCUGUAGCUGUUCUGAGAGGACGACCCGCCACACUGGCACUGAGACACGGCACAGACUCCUACGGGAGGAAGCAGUGGGGAAUCUUGCGCAAUGGGGGAAAGCCUGAUACAGCAAAGCCGCGUGAAGGAUGAAGGCCUUCGGCUUGUAAAGUGCUGUUGUACGGAACGAAGUAAAGCUGGUUUAUCCGCGAGGAUAAUGACGGUACCGUAAGAAUAAGCACCGGCUAACUACGUG